GUGACCUUUCCUUGGAGGAUGCCCUCAUGGUUAAGGCUGCAGCGUGGUGCUGCGAUGGGGAAUCGACAGUCGGUGCUUGCUUGGUGUAGUUUAAGGGCCUGUGUGGUUAGAAGCUGAUUUUCAUUUACUUGUGGGCUUGAAUGAAACUACUGCAACUCCCACGCCUCUUUGUCAUCUGGAGCCAGAACUUCAGAAGCCGCCGGUGCCUUGGUGACAAAGAAGCCCUUUAGGUUCUGUGAAUAUCUCACCCUGGAAAUAAACAGCUUCCUCUUCUGCUGGACCUGUUUCCCCCCUUAGAUGGUGCAUUCUUUUUUCCCCGUGUAAUACAUCAUUGGAGCAACUCAUUCUGGUGAUGAAUUACUCGUACAUGUUAUCAGAUGGGCCUGUUCUGAUACUCCUGCAUCAUCCCGAGUAUUACACUAAUAUAUCAACAGACUGAA